UAUGUAUGCUAAUAGGGAGAGUUGGGGGUUGUAGCUAGAUAUUUACGUUCAGUGGGAGCCGCCCUUCAUUCACCCACAUGGUUACCAACUGGUCGCCUUCGCGCCACUUUCCUAACCCCGAAAUCAGUAUUAUUCAGCUUAUCUGGGCUAUAAAUUGACUCACGAUCGGCUCGGAUUUCACUUAAUGUUUCGUUUUUGUCCGCCGGUAGAAAAGUUUUCGCAUUAGUCGCGUAUUUAUUUCUUUUUUGUCGGUAAGAGACUACACGGCAGCCCAAGCAAGUGAGCGAAGAUGGUGGAUUUCGGCUGAUCAACCAUGAAGUGCAGAACUCCAAACAAUUGCAACAUGGAGCGGUGUGACCAUCUAUCCCAUGGUGCUGGACGGCAGCGAAGCUGUAACUGGUAUUUGCACAUACUUGGAUGUGUAUGAAGGUCUGGAUACUGGAGAUGGCCCUUCCUGUGCAGGUGGGGAUUAGUAGCAAUGCUGUGUACCUGGAGGUAUUGCACUUGUCCCGGCCUGUGUAGGAACGAGGAGAUGGAGCCGACCUGAAUCAUGACCCCAGUGUUUAUCAGAAAACUGCUGCACUCAACUCCAUAUUGUGUAAUGUUUUAGUCAGUUUGGUCUGUAUGAAAUGCAUAUGAUUUACUGAUGGAGAUGUUUGGAUUGGUUAAUUGUAAUGUUGCUUGAAAUAUAUAAAAAACUUUUUUUAAUUUUU